UACGUAGGGGGGCAAGCGUUGUCCGGAAUCAUUGGGCGUAAAGCGCGUGUAGGCGGCUCGGUAAGUCCGCUCUGAAAGUCCAGGGCUCAACCCUGGGAUGCGGGUGGAUACUGCCGGGCUCGAGUCCGGAAGAGGCGAGUGGAAUUCCCCGGUGUAGCGGUGAAAUGCGUAGAGAUCGGGAAGAACACCAAUGGCGAAAGCACUCUGCUGGGCCGAAAACUGACACUGAGAGACGAAAGCUAGGGGGAGCGAAUGGG
rnacentral:rRNA from 1 species